rnacentral:rRNA from 1 species
UACAGAGGGUGCGAGCGUUAAUCGGAAUUACUGGGCGUAAAGCGCGCGUAGGCGGCUUUGCAAGUCGAGUGUGAAAUCCCCAGGCUUAACCUGGGAACUGCAUUCGAGACUGCAUGGCUAGAGUAUGGGAGAGGGAAGUGGAAUUUCAGGUGUAGCGGUGAAAUGCGUAGAUAUCUGAAGGAACAUCAGUGGCGAAAGCGACUUCCUGGACCAAUACUGACGCUCAUGUGCGAAAGCGUGGGGAGCAAACAGG